rnacentral:rRNA from 1 species
UUAGUAGGAGAACGGGUGAGUAACACGUGGGCAAUCUGCCCUUCACUCUGGGACAAGCCCUGGAAACGGGGUCUAAUACCGGAUAACACUCUGUCCCGCAUGGGACGGGGUUAAAAGCUCCGGCGGUGAAGGAUGAGCCCGCGGCCUAUCAGCUUGUUGGUGGGGUAAUGGCCUACCAAGGCGACGACGGGUAGCCGGCCUGAGAGGGCGACCGGCCACACUGGGACUGAGACACGGCCCAGACUCCUACGGGAGGCAGCAGUGGGGAAUAUUGCACAAUGGGCGAAAGCCUGAUGCAGCGACGCCGCGUGAGGGAUGACGGCCUUCGGGUUGUAAACCUCUUUCAGCAGGGAAGAAGCGAAAGUGACGGUACCUGCAGAAGAAGCGCCGGCUAACUACGUGCCAGCAGCCGCGGUAAUACGUAGGGCGCAAGCGUUGUCCGGAAUUAUUGGGCGUAAAGAGCUCGUAGGCGGCUUGUCACGUCGGAUGUGAAAGCCCGGGGCUUAACCCCGGGUCUGCAUUCGAUACGGGCUAGCUAGAGUGUGGUAGGGGAGAUCGGAAUUCCUGGUGUAGCGGUGA